rnacentral:rRNA from 1 species
GAAACUGCGAAUGGCUCAUUAAAUCAGUUAUGGUUUAUUUGAUGGUACCUUACUACUUGGAUAACCGUAGUAAUUCUAGAGCUAAUACAUGCAGGAGUGUCCUUCGGGGCUGUAUUUAUUAGAUAAGAAACCAAUCCAGCUUGCUGGUUGAGUGCUGAGUCACAAUAACUGCUCGAAUCGCAUGGCUUUUGCCGGCGAUGGUUCAUUCAAAUUUCUGCCCUAUCAGCUUUCGAUGGUAGGAUAGAGGCCUACCAUGGCGUUAACGGGUAACGGAGAAUUAGGGUUCGAUUCCGGAGAGGGAGCCUGAGAAAUGGCUACCACAUCCAAGGAAGGCAGCAGGCGCGUAAAUUGCCCGAAUCCUGACACAGGGAGGUAGUGACAAGAAAUAACAAUACAGGGCUCUUUCGAGUCUUGUAAUUGGAAUGAGUACAAUUUACAUCUCUUCACGAGGAUCRAUUGGAGGGCAAGUCUGGUGCCAGCAGCCGCGGUAAUUCCAGCUCCAAUAGCGUAUAUUAAAGUUGUUGCAGUUAAAACGCUCGUAGUCGGAUUUCGGGRCGGUCUUGCCGGUCUGCCGUUGGGUAUGCACUGGUGCGAGCGUCCUUCCUUCCGGAGACGGUGCCUCCUCUUAACUGAGUGGGUAUCGGAGACGGAUCGUUUACUUUGAAAAAAUCAGAGUGUUUCAAGCAGGCAGCUCGCUUUUGCAUGGAUUAGCAUGGGAUAAUGAAAUAGGACUUUGGUGCUAUUUUGUUGGUUUCGAACACCGAAGUAAUGAUUAACAGGGACAGUCAGGGGCACUCGUAUUCCGCCGAGAGAGGUGAAAUUCUCAGACCAGCGGAAGACGCACCACUGCGAAAGCAUUUGCCAGGGAUGUUUUCACUGAUCAAGAACGAAAGUUAGGGGAUCGAAGACGAUCAGAUACCGUCGUA